GUUACAUUGUAACGCACGUUGCUGAGAAAUGCCUCUUCUGGUGUUUGUGCAGCUCCUGCUCCCAGAGCCUCCGGGAGCUGGCUUUCCUGCCCCAACAUGCGAUUUUGUAGCAGCAAUGCACAUUUGAAUCCUGGAAACUCCUCCGUGCUCUCCCUCCUGUCUCCACACCCGGCCCCUCCUCCUCAUCUUGUCAGAAUCUAAAGUUCAGAAAGACAAAUUCAUGGAACUCAAUGCCAGGAAGCCUUGAGUAAUCUCGCUUUGCAUAAUACAGUUCUUAGGGUUACUUUUCAAUGCCAAAACGCCUUGUCAUCUAAGUUUCUUUCUUGUUUUUGGUAAAGAAGUGGGUACUAAGGAAUAUUGCUGUGUGGAAGGAAGGACAGUGAUCCAGGUGCGGACACAGAGGGAAAACACCGUCUGGGGACCAGUAAGAGCCCCUCUCCCGACACUGGAUGUGCCAGCGCCUUGAUCCUGGACUCCCCAGCCUCCAGAACCGCAACAAACUCACGGAGUCUCAUCACCGCCCCAGGAGGUGAUUCCAGGAAGCUCUGUGAGGGCGUGCAAUGAGACAGGGCUCGCAGAAGGACCAGCAGAGGGUUCUCUUGAGGAACCCAGCAGGUUUGUGCCGUGUGCCGCUGGCGGUCAGCUUAACCGGGGCUGGUGCAGUCACCUGAGGGACCAUGCAGGCUACAGGUCAGGGGGCUGGGUGCAGAGCGGAGAGACUGAGGCCUCAACCCCCAACUGCUGUCCACACCUGAUGCGUGUAACGUUGGAACUUCAGCUCCCCGCGUUUCCAGGCUGAGCCGGAGCGCGCCCCCACGUGGACAGGAGGGAUGCAGGUCCUGCAGGGCGGAAGCAGGGAGAGAACAGGAAACCAUCUGCCUGCAGGACAGCCAGGGGAGCGAGGGGAUGUGUCGCAUCGACACCCUUACGUCCACGGUGAUGUGUGAUCCGUGCAGGGCAAAGCUUCAAGUGCUUCACAAAUACCCCUUCGCUGACUCUCCAUGACAGCCCCACGAGACAAGUGUUGUUAUCCCCGCUCUACAGAUGGAGAAACUGAGGCGUGGAGGAAUGGCGAACAACUCACACAAGAUCCUCCCGUAAGUCAAUGGCAGAGCAGGAUUCAAACCCAGAAAGUCUAUGCUGGUCGUGAGCGCCUCACCACCCUUGCCCGCCCAUUGUGUUUUCCCUCCUGUCGGGUCUUCCAUAUAGAUUCAGCCGCCUAUUUCCUUCAGGUCUCAGCUUGCGGACCACCUCCUCCAAGAAGCGACCGUGAUCACCUCUCCUACUAGUACCUUUGGCAGAGAUCUGUUUGUUUUCCUCAUAGCACUUAACAGUUUGUAAUAAUUUUCUCUGUUGCUUUACUUACUUACCAUCUGCGACUAUAAGCUUCAUGAGGACAGGGGCCCAUCUGUCUUGUUCACUUUGAAUUCCUACUUCGUAUCUCAGGGACUGGCUCCGUGUAGGAGCUUAAUAAAUAGUAUGUGCCCCUGGAGAGUAGUUGAAUAAUUAAAUAAAUGAACCCAACAUACAGAAUAUAUUGACGUCAUGUUUCUAUAGGCCUGACAUAUACACAUUGCAUUGUUUUCCAAAUAUUAAUUAAUGGGGCCUUUGGAAUUUCCCUGAGGGGUUGGCCGAGGGUGCUUCCAUGUGGAAGAUGCAGGACACAAAUAGAGCGAAAUGAUUUAUUCUGGGUCACUGAUGACUCAAUGUCUGGGAAUAGAAACACACUCCAAAACCUUUGCUCUAAUUAGUCAAGGUAAUUAUUAGGCACAAUAAUUAGGCAUGAGUGACCUCAGCCAGGCUGUUUUGUAACCUCUGGAAUUUAAGACCUGUACUAAUUUUGCUUUAAUGGCAGGAUUUGUUGUGGCUUGCCACCCCCACCCCUUCUCUGCUUUUUCUGAGCAAACAAACAUUUGUCUCAAAACACAAUCUUUUGGGGGCAUCUGGCUGGCUGAGUCGGUAGAGCAUGUGACUCUUGAUCUCAGUCUUGGGGUUUUGAGUUCGAGCCCCACAUUGGGUGUGGAGCAUACUUGGAAAUAAAACCUUUAGGGGCACCUGGGUGGCUCAGUCGGUUGAGUGAAUAACUCUUGAUUUAGGCUCAGGUCACGAUCCCAGGGUCGUGUGACCGAACCCCAUGUCAGGCUCCACGUGGAGCAUGGAGUCUGGUUAGGAUUCUCACUCUCUCCCUCUGUCCUUCACCCACUCGUGCUCUCUCUCCCUCAAAAUAAAAAUAAAAAUAAAAUAAAAUAAAAUAAAAU